rnacentral:rRNA from 1 species
UUCGGGAACUGUGAGACAGGUGCUGCAUGGCUGUCGUCAGCUCGUGUUGUGAAAUGUUGGGUUAAGUCCCGCAACGAGCGCAACCCUUAUCCUUUGUUGCCAGCGGUCCGGCCGGGAACUCAAAGGAGACUGCCAGUGAUAAACUGGAGGAAGGUGGGGAUGACGUCAAGUCAUCAUGGCCCUUACGACCAGGGCUACACACGUGCUACAAUGGCGCAUACAAAGAGAAGCGACCUCGCGAGAGCAAGCGGACCUCAUAAAGUGCGUCGUAGUCCGGAUUGGAGUCUGCAACUCGACUCCAUGAAGUCGGAAUCGCUAGUAAUCGUGGAUCAGAAUGCCACGGUGAAUACGUUCCCGGGCCUUGUACACACCGCCCGUCACACCAUGGGAGUGGGUUGCAAAAGAAGUAGGUAGCUUAACCUUCGGGAGGGCGCUUACCACUUUGUGAUUCAUGACUGGGGUGAAGUCGUAACAAGGUAACCGUAGGGGAACCUGCGGUUGGAUCACCUCCUUA